GGCAGAGGGAAGGGUCUCGGAUGGGCAAGGAGAGGUACCAAUGUGCCUUGCCAGCCCAGGACUGCCCCCUCCUGGCCCAGUCAGAGCCCCGGGGCCUGAGAAGCUCAGUCUCCCACGGGGGACAUUGGCCUCACCUUUUCUCUGCCUCCAGCACCCACGGCGGCUGCAGAUGGCAGAGUCUCCGGAGACAGCAGCUGCGACAGAGUCUGCAGGCCGACGUUGAGCUGCUCAGGCUGAGGUGGUGCGCUCAGCACAGAGCUCCCGGAACAGGCAUCUGCUGGGCGUGAGCUGAGGCCGCCGCGAUGCCGCACUUCCUGGACUGGUUCGUGCCCGUGUACCUGGUCAUCUCCGUGCUCAUCCUGGUGGGUUUCGGCGCCUGCAUCUACUACUUCGAGCCUGGCCUGCAGGAGGCGCACAAGUGGCGCAUGCAGCGCCCCCUGGUGGACCGUGACCUCCGCAAGACCCUGAUGGUUCGCGACAACUUGGCAUUUGGAGGGCCAGAGGUCUGAGGGCACCCGGCGGGCACCGGGCGCCUCCCCCCUCGCCCAGCCUGGAGACCCUGGGGCAGAGAAAGGACAACCCGUGGUCCUUCGGGCCAUCCCUCUGCAGCCUGGACCCUCCCCGCAGAGGCUUCCAGGUGCUCGGGGUGGACCCUGGCUGCACCCGUUGAGAUGGGGCACCUGGGUAACUUAAGGUGUCACUGCUGCUGGCCCAGGGCUUGCUUUCCACAUCAAGCCAGCUCACCCCACACCUGCCCUCCCCAGCUCUGGGUUUAUCCCCCACUGACCCCCAGUGCCUUUGUGCUGCCCAGCACUCUUGCCCCUCACCUGGAGCCUGGCACCGCUGCCCCUGCCUGUCCUGAGCCUCGAGAUUCCCACUUCCCCACUGAAUCCCUGGUGACGCUCAACGGCCCACUCCACCCAAGGCACCCACCCUGCAGCUUCACAUGGCUGCCUUCAAAGCGGACCCAAGGAAAGUGUCCUCUUGGUCCAGCCCAGCCCCACCCCUCUGGACUCAGGCUUGGCAUUGGUGAGACCGUGAUGGGGUGGCAGAGGGGUAAUAUCACAGAGGAAGGAGGGGUGUGUGUGUGUGUGUGUGUGUGUGUGUGUGUGUGUGUGUGAAAGAGAGACAGAGUAUGUCUCGGAGGAGUGGAGAGGCAUGUGCGGAGGGGGAGAUGCCGGUCUGUAUGUGUGAGAGGCAGAGUGGGAGGUGGUGGGGAUAGGGUGAGCUUGUCAGUAGCCCCAGGGGUGCCAGCAGCAGUUCCUCCCUCCCUCCCUCUGCCAGACUUCUCUAUCUCUCCUCUUCCCCCAGGCCCCUGCUCUCCCCUCCCUCCCUCCCUGUACUGCACCUGCAGGUACUGCACCCCUCCAGCACCCUCCCUGUCCACCCUAGCCCCACCAGGGAGCCCUCCUCCUGUGUGUUUGGCAGCCUGUCUCACUCUCCUCCUCUGGAACUUCCCUCUUAGUUUCUUGCAAUAAUAAAGACUUUGUGACGAUUUUUGCAGGACUCUCUCGUUUCCUGAAGGGAGGAUCAUGUCUGUCAUCUCACUGGAUCUUCAUAAAAAACUAUGAUAGUGCAAUAUUCCCCUUUUUAGGGAUGAGGACACCUGUCUCAGAGAGGGUGAAGAAACUGGAGCUCGGAGACCUGGUGGCCUGUUCAAAAGCACACAGCUGUGACGAACCCAAGAUGGAGGUUCUAGAGCCUGCGUCACUUGUCUGAGAGGCCACCACAGUGAUUUUUUUUGCUUGGGUCAAAGUCUGUCUUCUGAGGCUACUUCCAGGCCUGAGGACCAUUCCUCCGCCGAGAACAGCAGGGCAGGUGUGAGGUCAUUGCCACUUUGGACCACUAGGGGGUAGCUGAACCCAGGCUGUAGUUACUGGGCAGGCAGAGUCCUCCAGGUGCCCCCCCCCCCCAACCAACCCUGGAGGACAGAGCAGGGCAGAUGGGCCUGGGGGAUACAGACAUGAACCAGACUCAUGCCUGACUCUCAAGUCCCUAACAGCCUGGCAGGGAGCCACAUGGAGGAAUUCUAGAUCUUUAAGCUAGAAGAGACCACAUGAAAGCACCUGGGACCUGUUUGCAAAGGCAACUGAGGCUCAGAAGGGCAAGUGAUCUGAUAGAAGCUGUAUAAUGACUCAUUUGUCAAAGUGGGGGAGAGAAUCCAGGACUCCUGACUCCUGCUCAGGGCUUCCUCAUCUCAGAGAUGAUGCAAUCCAGUGGGGCUGACCAGUAAAUGCUCCCCCUACCCAAUCUGUCUGGGCAGACCAGACCUGUGCUGUCCCCUCCCCCAGGCACCUGUAUUCUGGCUCAAACUGGGCUGGUUCUUGGAGCAAGAAGGGAAGGGGGAGGAACUCCAGACAGCUCCCCUCCCCCACCCACGGGGCUUUCAGCAGGUGUUGCCCCGUAACCAGAGCGCAGCCAAGUUUGAAAACUUAAAGGUCAAAAAGGGAGAGAAUGGAUGCAGAGGGGAAGGUCGGAGGUCCACAAGGUUACCAUUCACUCCAUCAUUUCAUUCAUUCAUUCAUUCGUUCAUUCAUUCAUUCUACAGAAACUUAUGAGGCUGAUGCUUGCCAGGGCCCAGGACCCAGAGAAAAUAAUCCCCCCACCCCCCUCACCCCCUGUGGCUAGUGGCUGUCACAUUGGAUGGCACAGAUGUAGAACAGCUCCAUUAUCGUAGAAUGUUCCAUUGGCCAGUACGGCUCCAGAAGCUCACUCACAAAGGAGAGCAAUCCCCAGGAGAGUCGACCAGACCGCCAGCGUUGUGUGGGCAGCAGUGUGCCCAUCAGCCAAAAGCAGGAGACAAGGUGAAGAUUGCGGGAGAUGCCGAGAGCAGGCUUCGCCUAGUUCCUGCCUCAGGGGGAGUGCUCGAAGGCUGUCCUGCACUGUCACUGCUCUAUUACUGUAAGGACCUGCCCAUCUUCCUGAGCAGAUUGAGAGCUCCUUCCCAGCCCCGGCACAGUGUCUGGCAUGUAGUAAGUGUCCAGUAAAUGGUAGCUGUGAUUCGCACGAUCAUUGUUACUACGAUUGCGGUGACAGGGGCAGAAGAGGACACCCAGUCCACAGGGUGGGUCUCCUGGGCCCAGGGCUGGGUCAUCUUCAUGUCCUCAGGGUCUUGGGACAGGGUCCAGCUGGAGUGAGGAGGGGCUCAGGGAAUCAUUGCUGAAGCAGACAACCCCUGCUUUAGCUUCCAGGAACUUCAGUUUGCCCCAGAAAAGACCUCAGGUGGGUGGGCAAGAUGGCUGGAGGGUCACGGAGCUAAACGGAGCGUGAGGGCAAUGCAGAGGGAAAUGGGGAUGCUGCCAGGACCACCAGAGUAUGGCUGUAUUUGGAGUAUCCUUAAUCUUCCUGGAGACAUCUCUCAGGAGUCAGAGUCUCUGGGAGACAGAGUAGAUUUGGGGAGGGCAGGCAGCAGGGCAACACCACCCCCAAAAGCGGCCUUGAGUCCGGGGCAGCCCAGCCUGGCCAUUAAGAGCCUCCCCUGGCCCUUCGGGAUUCCAGAGGCUCAGAGCAGCCAUUCACAACGCCCACUGCUGAGAAGCCAGCCCCUCCCUGCCCCAGAGCCUGGCGCAGCUGGGGAUGUAGCUGGUGGGACAGUUCAGGAGAGCGCUGGGCCCUGCGCCUGGGGACGAUGGCCUGGAGGCUGAGUGGAGGCUCACAAGGGGACCAGAAAGAAGAAGGCCCUGAGCUGGUCACAGUGGCCAUCUCGGUGCAGAGGAGGGCUUCCCAGGCUGAGGCGCACUGGACU